GUUUAAUUUUUAAAUUAUUUUAUUAAGAAAAUAUAAAAUUAGAAUUUUGCCACCUAAAAUUUGGUUAAAUUGUAGUUGUUUCGCACGGGUUAGUCGCUAACAAUUAAAAAGGGAUCAGACGAUUAUAUAAGAGACAAACAUCUUGAAACAAAGUCCCAAAAAGAGGCAUUUUUACUGGCGAUGAUUUUACAAUUGGAAAAUAAGAACAGAAUGCCUCCAAGGGGCGCAAGCACACGAGUUACUGAAAAAGAAGUGUUUAAAUCUAAACUAAGAAAUUUAAAUUUAUAUAUUCUCUGUUCGAGAGUGUUUGAUUAGGGGUCCUUUGUUCUAUAUCUUUUCUUCCUUUUAUACUCCCUGGAUGAUCUCUUCGUGAUCAACCGCUUAAAAACUGCUUGAUCGCUUUAUACCUGCCCACUUUCCUUGUAGUGGUCAACUUGUUAGAAACUACCUUCUCUAACUGCUGCCAUUACUUUUGUCGUUUAACCGACUUCAAUUGAAUUUCUUGAAUCGUGGGACGUGAUAGGACUACCUAAUAACUGCUUUAUUAACUGUACUUUUGGGUAACCAUAACAUCUUAUGUUUGUUAAGAUACUGGGCGACUUGAAUGUUUGGACGAGAGCAGGGUCACAACGCUGGACGACUGCAUGGCAAUUCAUUCGCUCAAAUUUUCGGCGACUUGCAACCUUGGGCGAUGGUAUUACUGCGUUCAUGGGCUUUCCUAUUUGGGCCUUUAUCUUGCAUUGCCUGAUUGGUUCGUUCUUUGGGUUAUUUGAUUUUUGGGGAUCUUCCAGUUGGGUUUCAUUCCUUGGGCUAUUCGACUUGGG
rnacentral:lncRNA from 1 species